UACGGAGGGAGCUAGCGUUGUUCGGAUAUACUGGGCGUAAAGCGCACGUAGGCGGCGCCGUAAGUCAGGGGUGAAAUCCCGGAGCUCAACUCCGGAACUGCCCUUGAAACUGCAGUGCUAGAAUCCUGGAGAGGCGAGUGGAAUUCCGAGUGUAGAGGUGAAAUUCGUAGAUAUUCGGAAGAACACCAGUGGCGAAGGCGACUCGCUGGACAGGUAUUGACGCUGAGGCGCGAAAGCGUGGGGAGCAAACGGG
rnacentral:rRNA from 1 species